AGUGGCAAUAGUAGUAGUGAUGGUGGUAGUAACAGUAGUAAUUGCAAAAAUGUAACUACUUAUACAUACAACAACGAAUACGAAAACAACAAUAUAAACAGAAACUCAUUUAAUAACACAUAUAAGAAUUUAUUUAAAUGUAAUAAGAUAGAAAAUACGGAUUUGCAAAAAUCAGUAGAUAAACUUAAUACAAUUUUACCUCCAUAUAUACAACAUAUUUAUAUGUAUAAUAAUUUUAAAAAUAUAAAAAAAUUAUUUUUAAUUAAAUUUUUUCAAAACGAUUAUAUAAGAAAUGAAAUGUUGGAUAAAAGAAAAAUUAAAAAAAAUAGAAAUAAACUUUAUAUAUAUAACAAAAAAGUAAACUAUAUAAAGAUAGAUAUAUGUAAAGAAUAUAUUUUUAUUGAAUAUUUUUUGUUAAUAAAAAAUAAAAAUAAAAGUUUCAUAAUUGUUUUAAAAGAAAAUAAAAAAAUGGAUUUUUUAUUUAUUUUAAAAAAUUGUGCUUAUUUAUAUGUUAAUAAUAAAUCACAUAUUAUGUGUAAUGUAAAUACUGUAUUGUGUAAGUUGAUAUUCGAAAGUGGUAUAGACACAUUAAUUAGUAUAACAAAGGCAUAUGAUAAUAAAACUACUCAAGAAAUAGGUAAAAAUAUAUUAAAAUUCAAUAAAUUUAAAAAACAAUAUUAUUACUUUAUUAUGAUAUAUAACGGGUUUAUAAAUAAAGAUAUUUAUUUAAUUAAAAAAAGUUUACAAUUGUUAAAAUUUAAAGAAAUGUUAUUAUUAUGUAGAAUCUUAUUUCAUUACAUUUAUAACAAUUUUAAUAUAAAAAUAAUUUUUUUUUAUUUUAUUGAUUAUUUUAGUUUUAUUAAUCAUAUAUGGUUAAACCAGUACAAAAGGCAAACACGCAAUUUUAUAAAAGAUAUAAAACAAAAAAAGAAUUUAUAAAAAUAUAUUUUGCUAUAACUUUAAAAAACGUCUUUGAUAUAGUACACAUUAUUGCAAAUAAAUAUUAUAGCAUUAAAAAUGUUGACAAAUAUGGAAAUGUUACUACACUAUAUGAUAAUUAUGUUUAUAGAAAAAGACACGGUAUAGAAAAGUUACAAAUGCAGGACUUAAACAAUACGGAAAAAAGCAAAAACAAAACUUCAAUACAUAGUUAUAUUUUAAAUAGUAAUAAUUUAGAAAAAACAAAUAAAAAAGGUAUCAGUAAAAAUGAACAAACUGUUUUAAAAUAUAAACAAUUGAAAGAAAAUGUGAGUAUUGCUUAUGGUUUUGGUCAAAAAAAAAGCACUGAUAGGGGUGGAGAAAAAAAUAUAAAAGGGAAUGUUGGUAAUUAUAGUAAUACUUUUGAUAUAUCGGUUGGAAAAAAUCGGGACAUAGAAGCAGGUGAAAUAACUAGAACAAGCGAAAUGGGUAGAACGGUAGAAAUGGGUAGAACGGUCGAAAUGGGUAGAACGGGCGAAAUGGGUAGAACGGGCGAACUGGGUAGAACAGGCGAAAUGGGUAGAAGGGGUAUAACGAACGGAGUAAACGAAACUAAGCGAAAGAUCUCUAUAGUUAAUUCAAACUAUUUCAAUGAAACGAAAAAAAUAUCACAAAGUUAUAAGAGUGAAGCAAAAGGACUGCCAAUGAUAAGAACAAUCCAAAAAAAAAGUAAUUUAUUAUCAACUGAAAAAAAAAAAAAAAAAAAAAACCUUUGUAUAAAUAUAAAUGACAAAUAUUUCGAAGUAAAUAAAUAUAAUAAUGAUAUAAAAAAUAUUUUGAUUGAUAUAUUUGAAAUUUAUAAUUUUGAAAACUUUUGUUUUGUUAAUUAUUGUAAUAUAUUUAAAAAUAAGAAAUAUAGUAUCGAAAUAUGUGGAAUUGCACUAGAAUAUAUUUUAUUUUUUAUUGACUGUUAUACAAAAAAAAGUACCAAAAAAAAAAAAUAUGAUAAAAUAUUUUUAGAGAUGAAUAAAUAUGUAUAUUUUAUAAAAAUAAUCAUGAAUAUUUUAGUUAGUAACUAUUCCACUAAAUUAAAAAAAAAAAGAAAAAGAAAUGUGAGUAAGUUGGUUACUGAAUCGGAAGAGUCUUUUGUUUGUGAUGCAACAGAUGUGGUAUAUACAAGAGAUCAUCCAAAGGAUUAUACAAAGGAUUAUACAAGGGAUCUUACAAGGGAUCUUACAAGGGAUCUUACAAGGGAUCAUAUAAAUUAUGAUGUUUAUAAUAGUAACAACUUAUGUUAUAAUAAUAAACAAUUCGAAUCUAACUUAUUUCAUAAUGUUUAUAUAAAUACAUUUAAAAUGUAUGAUAUUAUGUCACAGUUAUUAUUGUAUGUAAAAGAAACACCAGCUAAUAACCUGAGUGAACUAUUUUUCAAAUAUUAUUAUCGUAUGUUGUUUAAUACUGGUAAUAAUAAUGAAAACGAUAUAGGGGAGGAAUAUAUUAUAGACAGUUACAAAGAAGUAAUGUAUUGUUUAAAAAAUAAAAAAAAAAAUAAUAUAUUAAAAAAAAAAAAUUAUUUUAACAACAAAAUAACACCAGUGACAAAUUUCAAUUUAUUUGGUAAUAACAAUUAUUUUUAUGCAUAUAUGUAUAUGCAUAAGAACCAAAUGAACCCAAUUUCUAUUUUAAUCAAACGAGUGUCAGAUGUAUUAUUUAUGGAUGAAAUAAAAAUCAAUGAAAAGAAUACUUCGAAUACUUAUCAUGAUAUUAGUGUUGUGAGUGUUGAAAAUGUAUAUCCUAAUGGUAAUAAAAAUAUUAACAUUUGUUAUGGAAAUGGUAAUAAAGGCAUACAUCACAACGAAAAUAACAUAAAGUUUGAUAGUAGUAGCAAACACAAUAAUAGUAGCAUCAGUAACAAUAACAUAGACAGUUUCACGUUGAUGAAAGAAAACACAAACUAUUUUGCUAAUCAAUCUAUUAAUGAAUAUAAUCUGAAAUUUUUCUUUUUAAUUUUAUGUUACAGUUUUAUAAUAACAAAAAAUAUAAAAAAAGAGUUAUCAUAUGUGUAUAUGAAGGAUGCUUAUUAUAAAGAAAUAGCAGAACGUAACAAAUUUUUAACAACUAAACACAGCUUUAAUGAGAUUGUUUAUGACAUGGUUAAUACAAAUGAUCUAAAUACAGUAAUUUAUUAUAUAUACACAAAAAAAUAUGAAUUUUUUUUUAAUUUUGUAUUUUUAUAUUUUAAUUAUCAUAUUUUACAUACCUUUUUAAUAAAAGGUAGAAACAAAUUAGCAAAAGAGUACUCUGCGUUUGUUACUGACAAAAAUAAGGCCAGCUAUAAAUAUAUCGAAACAACAUAUAAUAAAAAUGGUGUAGCAAAAAACAGGAAGGAAUCGAAUGUAUAUUCAAAAAAAGAGUUCAACACAAUUUUUAAGAAAGUUUUAAAUACAAUUAUAAAUGAUUAUGAUAUUUUUAACAUGAAUAAUAAACAGAAUAAUUCAGAAGUUAAAAGUUUUUUAACAUAUUUAUUUAAUAAAUAUUCUAAUGAUGAUUUUUUUUUUAUAAGUAAUAAAAACAAAAGUAACGAGAUUGGCAGUUGUGUUAGUACUCAUCGUGUUGCAGAUAAUCAUAACACUUGUGGAAUAAUUUGCAAAUCACAUACGAACAAAUUGUUAAAUAAGGAGCAUUCUAUUGGUACUAAAAGUGUGUAUAAAAAUUAUGUUUAUAAUGAUAAAACGAUUGUACUGCAGAAUAGUAAAGUUUUAAAGGAUAGUCCAAAUCCAUUGAAAGGAGAAAGACGAUUAACAAGUAACCAUCAACCUGUCAACAUUAAUUCGUUUGAUUCGAAUAAGACACAAAAGAACCGUCGUACCGAAUUUAUAAAUUAUGAAUAUAUAAAUAAGCUAAAAACAAUUAUAAAAAAAUUUUAUUUUAUGCAAAAAAUGUUAACUAAUAAAUUUAUAUUACUUGAGAAAGAAAUGGAAAUGGGUGUAAAAAAUAUAUAUUCCGCAUUUAAUUUUUCUUACAAAACGAAAAGUAUGUUAAAAACGGAUGUAGUUAAUAUAUUACUUUUAAUAUAUAAAAUGAUUAUAAAAGAUAAAAAAGAAAAUAUAAAACUAUGUAGAGUUUUUAAAACGAAUGUUAUAAAAAGAUUAAUACACAAUUCUGAUAUACCAUUUCUUUUUAUACAUAUGAAUCCACAUACUAUACUAAUUAAUUAUUAUAGUACUAUAAUAUAUAGAUUAUGUUGUAAUAAUAUAGAAAAAUAUUUAAGUAUAUGUAUAUAUAUAUUAAAACUAUUAUGUGUUGAUGUUUUAAAAUUUUUUAAAAUGGUAGCAUUUAAUACUUUGAAAAAAUAUAUUAGACAUAAUUUAAUAUUAUUUUUGUUGCAAAAUAAUUACACAUUUAAUCCUGAUGAAAAAAAAGCAAUUAAAUUUAUUUCCAUUUUAGAAAAUUUUUAUAAAAAUAGUUCUUAUAUAACAGAACAUAAUAGUAGUUACACAAAUUAUAUUUUGAACAGAAGUGUGUUCAGUUGUGAUCCGACAAACAGCAUUAUAAAUAAAUUAAUAAAGACAAAUAAAAUUAAAUAUUAUGGUUUUUGUUAUUUGUAUGAUAUUAUAUACAAAGAAAAAAAUGUAUUAAAUGUUUUUAAUUAUUUGAUAGGAAAAAAUAAUCAAUCUUUUCAAAACACUUUUGAUUUAUAUAACAAUUUUAAUCCUACUUUUAUGUUUAUAGUCAUGUCUUU
rnacentral:lncRNA from 1 species